rnacentral:lncRNA from 1 species
GAUUAGUGUCUAAAAGUGUUUCAAAGAUAUAUCAUUUACAAGGCAUUUUACAUUCACUUUGUUUAAAAACGCUAAUGUUAGUCUCUAAUUCCAAUUCUCAUGCCGUAAAUUCAAUUUCCAUAAAUACAUGGUUAAAAAUGCAAUUAAUUGAAAUACGUAUUACAUACAUGGUGGCAUGAGUAUUAUACAUUUGAAAGAGUAUCUAUUUGAUGUAUUUCACAUGUAUUUUUAAUUUAUUACAAGUGGAGCAAGUGGAGGAAAAUAAUGUUGAAAAGUCAAAAAUAGUGACUGCCUCAAGCAAGAAGCAGCUGUUGGUAAAAUAAUCAUAACUUGAGCUACAGACAUUGGAUCGAGGUGAUUCAAGUUGGGUUGGAAAGAUAAGGCACGUUUCUACAACUUUCAUGUUUUGGAAGAAGUCAAAUUCGUAUCACAAGGCAGCCAAAAUUAUCGUACAAAGUCCAGCUUGUUACCUGCUGGAUACAGCUUUACCUGUGAAGCAGCACUUAUUGUUUUUGUCAUAUCUGGAGUUAUAUAGAUCCAAUGAACCUGAUAUUUGAACCAAUGGAAAGCUAACUCAAGUGGUAAUAAUUUGUCUGUUGA